rnacentral:rRNA from 1 species
UACGUAGGGGGCAAGCGUUGUCCGGAUUUAUUGGGCGUAAAGCGCGUGUAGGCGGCCACACAGGUCCGCUGUGAAAACUCGGGGGCUCAACCUCGAGCUGUCGGUGGAAACCGUGUGGCUAGAGUCCGGAAGAGGAGACUGGAAUUCCCGGUGUAGCGGUGGAAUGCGCAGAUAUCAGGAGGAACACCAAUAGCGAAGGCAGCUCGCUGGGACGUUACUGACACUGAGGCGCGAAAGCGUGGGGAGCGAACAGG